AAGAGGAAAUAAAAGUCAGACAGCUGGACAGAAAGACAAAAAAAUAAAAUAAAAAUAAAACUGACAAAAAAUGAUGAUGGGCACAUGGAGUGGCAGCAGCUGUUGAGAUGUUGGAUGUAUCACUGACACCACACUGAGCUCAGAUCAGAAGUGCAAAGUGAGAGGAAUUUGGUGAGGAGAACGCGUGUGCGUGUAUUUGCGUUCGGAUGCGCCUGCUUGUGUCUAUCAACGGCCGAGUGACUGAGUACAGCAACAGCUGUGACAGACCUCUCGAGCACAGCUUCACUGAUAUACGACACACAUGAAGGCAUGCACACACGACUUAGUCCUGUAGCAACAGCAAACCCAGGAGACGCUCUUCUAAAGCACAGUAUUAGAGUUUGUAUAGUUUGCAUUCAUCUGCUUUCUCUUUUUUUUAAACUCUAUUAAGGAUUUUCUUCUAGACACUCUCUCUUUUGUUUUUACUGAAUCUAAUCAAGGAGAUCUUCAAAAGAAGUGGUUGGAAAUGGCUGUUUUGAUGAGAACAAAUCUCUUUUGAUCAUGACUGACACCAGAAAUGUUGCAGAUUUCUUCUUCUUUCACUUUUCUCUACUUUAAAGGAUAUUCCUUCAUUUCAGUCACAACAAUGGUCUCCCAGAGCUCGACUGUUUAAGCGGAUUGCUUUGUUUUGGGAGGAUUUCAAGGCUGCAGAAAUCCAGCACCUGGACUAAACUGAUGUCCACCAUUGGCUGUUCGUUUCCAUUGUGGUGUUUUUGUGGAUGACUCACUCAGGGGUAAUUUUCCAGUUUGCUAACGCUCGCCAUGCUGGAGCACCUUCCAUGUGUCCGGAUUGACCCUGCCCCUUUCAGGCCUCAGCCAAUCAGAUGCAACAUGGAUAAGCGAGAUAUGCGUUUUGAGUUAGAGCGCCAGGCCUGUCAAAGUCUCAGACAAGUUCUUCAGCUGAAGUUGCAACAGAGAAGGAGCAGAGAGGAGCUCGUCAGCCAGGGGAUCAUGCCACGUAAGUUACAACAAAACACUUUUAAGAAAUAUUUUGGUAUGAACUGUAAAAUGAAGCUGAUGUAAACUCUUACAGUAACCUUGCUAGUAGAUACAACUGGCACAUCUAGUACUGCGCCAAAGUUUUGGGUCCCACCGUUUGUUUUUUUUAUAUUUUGCUGCCAAAGAGCCAGACUUUGUUUAUUUUUUGAAAUUUGUCUUUUUAAAAGCAUAAAGUUUUCUUUGGAGACAGGCGGCUUUUUCACUGAUUUUCAGUCCAGUCCACGUAUCUCACCAUUUUCAGUAGAAUGUUUUUUGUUUGUUUGUUCGUUUGUUUGUUAAGCCCCUUAACACUGACCGAUCAAUCAUUCAAGCACUUAACUUAUUGGAUAAACCAGGGUUGUGUCUACACAUAAGGGGCAACUUAUCAAAGAAGUCAUUUUAACUUAAAUAGACUGUUUGUUACUGGCAGCCUGUCACAAGAACAUCUAUUUUGUUCCCAUUUUUUCAGUUGAAUUUAUCCAAAAUGUCAAACAUAGCAAAUUUUGAUAUAAAUAACACUGAAUUUUACAUCAAAAAGACAAUUCUGAAAGAGUUAUUAGUCAAAACCAUGGCAUAUGACAGCAUGAUGUGCAGAGUGUGAACAGUAUCUGAGCAUCAUCUCCUAAGAAAUAGGAAAAACUCCAGUCAGGACCUAAAAUAUCCAUCUGACCUUUAAAAUUUUCUGAAAUUGUCAUCAACACAUACUGAUGAGGUCAGGAGAGAAGUACAACUAUGAGUGUCUAACGCCAUCUGUACAACACGCUGUCAUGGUUUUAGUGAGUGUUGUUGUGGAUCUUCUCAAAAUUGAUGGAAUUAUGUACACAGAAUUAUGGUUAGAUUUUGACUGACCAUGCAACAGCAUCUGGACUGAUGAAAAAGAUGAAAAUGAUCCCAAACACGCUACCAAUGCAGUAAAAGCAUACCUGGAUAGAAAAACACACAGUGGAACACCAUCAGUCAUGGAUUGGCCUCCCCAGACCCUGGACCUCAACAUUAUUGAAGCACUGUGGGGUCAUCUUGGCAGAGAUCAGAAUAAAAAGCAGAAACAUCCAAAGCUUUGAAGCCUGGAGAACUAUUCCUGAACGCUACUUCAGUUCAAGAAAUUACAAGACAGCUGCCUAAGAGAGUUCAGACUGAAGACUAAAGGUUGUCAUACCAAAUACUGACUUUCAAGCGUUUUAGAAUUGUACAAAUUCUGUCUUACCUUAUUGCCCACUUUAUUUCCAUGUAUGUGUGCACGUUUCAGUAAAUUGCUGCACAUUGGUCCAUUAGAUACACUAAAGGUAUGACAUAACAUUUAAGUGUGU
rnacentral:lncRNA from 1 species